rnacentral:misc_RNA from 1 species
GAAAUGCGAUAAGUAAUGUGAAUUGCAGAAUUCAGUGAAUCAUCGAAUCUUUGAACGCACCUUGCGCUCCUUGGUAUUCCUUGGAGCAUGCCUGUUUGAGUAUCAUGAAAUCUUCAAAGUAAAUCUUUUGUUAACUCAAUUGGUUUCUACUUUGGUAUUGGAGGUCUUUGCAGCUUCACACCUGCUCCUCUUCGUUCAUUAGCUGGAUCUCAGUGUUAUGCUUGGUUCCACUCGGCGUGAUAAGUUAUCUAUCGCUGAGGACACUGUAAAAGGUGGCCAAGGUAAAUGCAGAUGAACCGCUUCUAAUAGUCCAUUGACUUGGACAAUACUUUUAUGAUCUGAUCUCAAAUCAGGUAGGACUACCCGCUGAACUUAAGC